CCUACGGGAUGCAGCAGUGGGGAAUCUUGCGCAAUGGGCGGAAGCCUGACGCAGCGACGCCGCGUGCGGGACGACGGCCUUCGGGUCGUAAACCGCUUUCAGCAGGGGCGAGGCCCUCACGGUGACGGUACCUGCAGAAGCAGCCCCGGCUAACUACGUGCCAGCCUCCGCGGUAAUACGUAGGGGGCGAGCGUUAUCCGGCUUCAUUGGGCGUAAAGCGCGCGUAGGCGGGCUGUUAGGUCGGGGGUCAAAUACCGGGGCGCAACCCCGGUCCGCCCCCGAUACAGGCAGGCUUGAGUCUGGUAGGGGAAGGCGGAAUGCCCAGUGUAGCGGUGGAAUGCGCAGAUAUUGGGAAGAACACCGGCGGCGAAGGCGGCCUUCUGGGCCACGACUGACGCUGAGGCGCGAAAGCUAGGGGAUCGAACAGGAUUAGAUACCCGGGUAGUC
rnacentral:rRNA from 1 species